rnacentral:sRNA from 2 species
CAAGACGGGUCGCCGGAGCGGACGUCCGUUCGAGCCGAGCAGCCCUUGGGGUGAAGCCGCGACACCGCGGCCGGGCAACUUCGCCAGCCCGAAUCCGACAGGUCAUCCUUCUCAGGCGGCUGACGAAGGGUUGC